rnacentral:piRNA from 1 species
AUCGGCUUCCUGUCUGUGGUGCA